UACGGGGGGAGCAAGCGUUGUUCGGAUUUACUGGGCGUAAAGGGCGCGUAGGCGGCCAGCACAAGUCAGUUGUGAAAUCUCCGAGCUUAACUCGGAAAGGUCAACUGAUACUGUGCGGCUAGAGUGCAGAAGGGGCAACUGGAAUUCUUGGUGUAGCGGUGAAAUGCGUAGAUUUCAAGAGGAACACCUGCGGCGAAGGCGGGUUGCUGGGCUGACACUGACGCUGAGGCGCGAAAGCUAGGGGAGCGAACGGG
rnacentral:rRNA from 1 species